rnacentral:rRNA from 1 species
GGUACCGAGCUUCGAACGGCAGCGCGAGAGAGCUUGCUCUCUUUACAGGUACUAGAGGCGGCGAGUGGCGGACGGGUGAGUAAUAUAUCGGAACGUGCCCAGUAGCGGGGGAUACUGACAUAGACCCGAUAUAGACAACUUGGGCCUGCUAACUACUCGAAAGAGUGGCUAAUACCGCAUACGCCCUACGGGGGAAAGGGGGGGAUCCAAGACCUCUCACUAUUGGAGCGGCCGAUAUCGGAUUAGCUAGUUGGUGUACACAUGCAAGUGGGUAAAGGCUCACCAAGGCAACGAUCCGUAGCUGGUUUGAGAGGACGACCAGCACACUGGGACUGAGACACGGCCCAGACUCCUACGGGAGGCAGCAGUGGGGAAUUUUGGACAAUGGGGGAAACCCUGAUCCAGCCAUCCCGCGUGUAUGAUGAAGGCCUUCGGGUUGUAAAGUACUUUUGGCAGAGAAGAAAAGGUAUCCCCUAAUACGGGAUACUGCUGACGGUAUCUGCAGAAUAAGCACCGGCAACUACGUGCCAGCAGCCGCGGUAAUACGUAGGGUGCAAUUACAAUUCAGAGAUCUAGCAAGCGUUAAUCGGAAUUACUGGGCGUAAAGCGUGUGUAGGCGGUUCGGAAAGAAAGAUGUGAAAUCCCAGGGCUCAAAUGGACAUAGGGAUACCACAUAGACAGACUCGCUACUGACCAUGGAAACGUAAGUGACAUCGAGCAAACAGGAUUAGAUACCCUGGUAGUCCACGCCCUAAACGAUGUCAACUAGCUGUUGGGGCCGUUAGGCCUUAGUAGCGCAGCUAACGCAGUUGACCGCCUGGGGAGUACGGUCGCAAGAUUAAAACUCAAAGGAAUUGACGGGGACCCUUGAACAUGACGCACAAGCGGUGGAUGAUGUGGAUUAAUUCGAUGCAACGCGAAAAACCUUACCUACCCUUGACAUGUCUGGAAAGCCGAAGAGAUUUGGCCGUGCUCGCAAGAGAACCGGAACACAGGUGCUGCAUGGCUGUCGUCAGCUCGUGUCGUGAGAUGUUGGGUUAAGUCCCGCAACGAGCGCAACCCUUGUCAUUAGUUGCUACGCAAGAGCACUCUAAUGAGACUGCCGGUGAUCGGCCAUAACAAACCGGAGGAAGGUGGGGAUGACGUCAAGUCCUCAUGGCCCUUAUGGGUAGGGCUUCACACGUCAUACAAUGGUCGGUUCCGAAGCAUAAGACAGAGGGUCGCCAACCCGCGAGGGGGAGCCAAUCUCAGAAACCCGAUCGUAGUCCGGAUCGCAGUCUGCAACUCGACUGCGUGAAGUCGGAAUCGCUAGUAAUCGCGGAUCAGAAUGUCGCGGUGAAUAC